rnacentral:rRNA from 1 species
AUGGACGACGGCGAGGAGGGAGACGGCCGCAGGGGACGGAGGGCCGCCGGAGUUGGCCGUCCCGAUGGUGUUGCGGAGGCCGGGCGGCGGAUGCAGGCGACGAGGAGGAGGCCGAGGGGACGGGACGAGGGCGUGGCGCUGGUCGCGCGAGGGAGAAAGAAGGGCGAGGUGGAGGCGCACCGGAGGGGAAGGGGGAGAUCGAGGAGUGGGGCGAGGGGAUCGGGCGCAGGGAGCUCGAUGCGUGCGUGUGCGUGCGAGUGGCGGCGCAGGAGGAUGGAUCGAGGGAGAUGGGGGUCGGGCUGA